UCAUUAUUUGUUUAUAUACAAUUCAAAUGAGUUAAUUACAUAUUUAAUCAAUUAUUGGUUUGUUUUCUAUUUUGAUUAUUUUACUGACACAUUUAAUGAAUUAUUUAAUGAUGUAUUCAUUUAAUUCACGUUGCUACUCCUGGCCCUGCAUCGCUGUUCAUAAAUACAUUUUAUUUGUCAGCUUCACCCAUCAAAGUCAGGGGGCGGGGUUAAUGCUGAUCAAGUCAAAACCAUUGCUUUGGUCUGGUGGGCGUUCUUUUAGUGGGCUUUUCUGUCACGGCCUGCGUGGCAGACUAUGAUGAGGGGAAGGACGACCCAAAUGCCAACACGUUCUCACUCCCAACUCGUCAAAUGUGUGACGCAUGGUCAGGCUCCCCCUGCUUCACUUAUCGACGCGCGGGGUACAUAUGCUUAAUAGUUUAACUAGAUUUCAUUUGUCAGUGUGGGACUGCUGAGUCACCUGAAGAACUCAUUCAUUCUCCACAUGAUGUUCAUUUACAGAAAUGUUUCACAGGAACUGAUUCCUCCUAAAGGUUGAACUAGUGUGUUUCCAUAGAUUACCUCUGUAUGAAUGUACUUCUUAAAUGAAGGCAAGUGUUUGUCCUUUUUUGUUCCUCAGGUACAGUACGUGAUAUCAAGGGCAGGCGGUCAACACUGGGGGAAGACAAGAAGCAGACGUACUUCCAAGAGGGAGCUGCAGUGAGGUCAGAGGAGGCGCUGGAAGGUUUCCCUAAUAGUUCCUGGUGAAUCAAAGCAGAACCAUAAAGGUUGCUGGACUGCAUGAUGGCCUUACCCCUGAGCCGUCAUCCUGUUAAAGGAGGAACCAGUUAGAAGCUGUUUUCAAAGUAGCUGAGCAGAUUUCAUCUCAACAGACAAAGCUGAUGGCAGAAGAUGUCAGAGAAGAACUUCAGGCCGUGGACUGAAAAGGUCUUUUUUUCUUGUUAUCAAAGACAUUUGGAGUGGCAGCUUCUACAACUGGUUGUGCUGAAGUAAAGCUUACAGUCUAAGAAACCACAGUGUUGAUAUUCAGCACAAAGAGAAAAGCUCACUUGUUUGAAUUUAUUUACAAUCAUAGUUUUAUAAAUUCUGACUGUAAACAGCUUUUACAGCUUUGAUAUUGUUUGACACUCGAUAUCAGGUUUAAUUUAAAGGUUUCUGUGUCCCAAUGAGCCAUUUACACUGACCAGUGUCAGUUUAACUGUAACACAUUCAUUAUUUAGAUUCAACAAAGAAAUAACUGAAUGUAAAAAUGGCAGCCCUCAGGCAGGUUUAUAGAGAUACAUGCAUGCAUUAUGAAAUUUAUGUAUCCCAGAUAAUUGUUAUUCAUCUAGUCAUGGCAGACCCACCUCUUCCUCCCAAGUUAACUGCAACCCAAAAGAACUAGUGGGGCUAUUUACACACUCACAACCAGUGUGGGGUAAAAAGAGCCACAAAAAGCUGUCAGCCACAGAUGUGCUAGAAGAGUUAGAAACUCUACUUAUGGAGAAACUUUCUAAGUCUAACAGGGGACAGGAACUCCUGCCCAAAUAACAUGAUAUAACCCCACAUACAGCCCAGCCAUAAAGUGAACCAAGUCAUUUAGUUAAAGACAGCAUGGGA